CAAGCAUCUACACCCCAGUGAGAAUGCCCUCUAGGUUAUUAAAACUAAGAGGAGCUGGCAUCAAGCACACACCCUGUAGCUCACGACGCCUUGCUUAACCACACCCCCACGGGAAACAGCAGUGACCAAAAAUUAAGCCAUAAACGAAAGUUUGACUAAGUUAUAUUAAUUAGGGUUGGUAAAUCUCGUGCCAGCCACCGCGGUCAUACGAUUAACCCAAGCUAACAGGAGUACGGCGUAAAACGUGUUAAAGCACCAUACCAAAUAGGGUUAAAUUCUAACUAAGCUGUAAAAAGCCAUGAUUAAAAUAAAAAUAAAUGACGAAAGUGACCCUACAAUAGCCGACGCACUAUAGCUAAGACCCAACUGGGAUUAGAUACCCCACUAUGCUUAGCCCUAAACACAGAUAAUUACAUAAACAAAAUUAUUCGCCAGAGUACUACUAGCAACAGCUUAAAACUCAAAGGACUUGGCGGUGCUUUAUAU
rnacentral:rRNA from 1 species